rnacentral:rRNA from 1 species
CAAUAGCGUAUAUUUAAGUUGUUGCAGUUAAAAAGCUCGUAGUCGGAUUUUGGCUGAGAACGAUCGGUCCGCCGUUAGGUGUGCACUGAUUGGUCUCAGCUUCCUGGUGAGGAGGUGUGCUUCACGGCCACUUAGUCACCGUGGUUACUUUGAAAAAAUUAGAGUGUUCAAAGCGGGCUUACGCUUGAAUAUAUUAGCAUGGAAUAACACCAUAGGACUCCUGUCCUAUUUCGUUGGUCACGGGACGGGAGUAAUGAUUAAGAGGAACAGUUGGGGGCAUUCGUAUUUCAUUGUCAGAGGGGAAAUUCUUGGAUUUAUGAAAGACGAACUUCUGCGAAAGCAUUUGCCAAGGAUGUUUUCAUUGA